UUUUUUUUUUUUUUUUUUUUUUUUUUUUUGUCUUCA
rnacentral:ribozyme from 1 species